rnacentral:rRNA from 1 species
AGAGUUUGAUCCUGGCUCAGGAUGAACGCUAGCGACAGGCUUAACACAUGCAAGUCGAGGGGCAGCGGUGGUGAAGGCUUGCCUUUACCAGCCGGCGACCGGCGCACGGGUGAGUAACACGUAUGCAACCUGCCUGCCACAGCCGGAUAAUCGGGAGAAAUUCCGUCUAAUACGGCAUAAUGCAUCGACGGGACAUCCUGUUGGUGCCAAAGGUUGAUUCCGGUGGCGGAUGGGCAUGCGUCGCAUUAGUUAGUUGGCGGUGUAACGGACCACCAAGACGACGAUGCGUAGGGGUUCUGAGAGGAAGGUCCCCCACACUGGUACUGAGACACGGACCAGACUCCUACGGGAGGCAGCAGUGAGGAAUAUUGGUCAAUGGCCGAGAGGCUGAACCAGCCAAGUCGCGUGAGGGAUGACGGCCCUACGGGUUGUAAACCUCUUUUGCCGGGGAGCAAAGAGCGGGACGCGUCCCGCCUCGAGAGUACCCGGAGAAUAAGCAUCGGCUAACUCCGUGCCAGCAGCCACGGUAAUACGGAGGAUGCGAGCGUUAUCCGGAUUUAUUGGGUUUAAAGGGUGCGUAGGCGGCCUGUUAAGUUAGUGGUUAAAUGUCGGGGCUAAACCCCGGAUUGCCAUUAAAACUGGCGGGCUCGAGUACAGACGAGGUAGGCGGAAUAAGUCAAGUAGCGGUGAAAUGCUUAGAUAUGACUUAGAACUCCGAUAGCGAAGGCAGCUUACCAGGCUGAGACUGACGCUGAAGCACGAGAGCGUGGGUAGCGAACAGGAUUAGAUACCCUGGUAGUCCACGCCGUAAACGAUGCUCACUGGUUCUUGGCGACAAACGGUCGGGGAUCAAGCGAAAGUAUUAAGUGAGCCACCUGGGGAGUACGUCGGCAACGAUGAAACUCAAAGGAAUUGACGGGGGCCCGCACAAGCGGAGGAACAUGUGGUUUAAUUCGAUGAUACGCGAGGAACCUUACCCGGGUUUAAAUGUUGAUGGACUUAAUUGGAAACAGUUAUUCUCUUCGGAGCCGUCAUCAAGGUGCUGCAUGGUUGUCGUCAGCUCGUGCCGUGAGGUGUCGGGUUAAGUCCCAUAACGAGCGCAACCCUUACCGUCAGUUGCCAUCAGGUAAAGCUGGGGACUCUGUCGGGACUGCCACCGUAAGGUGAGAGGAAGGCGGGGAUGACGUCAAAUCAGCACGGCCCUUACACCCGGGGCUACACACGUGUUACAAUGGCCGGUACAGAGGGCAGCUACCUGGAGACAGGAUGCGAAUCUCGAAAGCCGGUCGUAGUUCGGAUUGGAGUCUGUAACCCGACUCCAUGAAGUUGGAUUCGCUAGUAAUCGCGCAUCAGCCAUGGCGCGGU